GCUGGCGGAGGCUAAACAUGGUGACGAGCGCGCCUUCGGGUGAGCGGCGGGUAGGUUAGUAACGCGUGGGAACGUGCCCUUCUCUAAGGAAUAGCCACUGGAAACGGUGAGUAAUACCUUAUACGCCCCCCAAUCAAAUUCCAUUUGGUUGACGGAAAUUCUGUUGAAUGCCGGAUGGCAUUUGAUGGGGGGGAAAGAUUAUCGGAGAAAGAUCGGCCCGCGUUAGAUUGGAUAGUUGGUGGGGUAAUGGCCUACCAAGUCUACGAUCUAUAGCUGGUUUUAGAGGAUGAUCAGCCACACUGGGACUGAGACACGGCCCAGAACAUCCUACGGGAGGCAUCAAGAGGGGACUAUUGGACAAUGGGGGCAACCCUGAUCCAGACAAUGCCGAGUGUGUGAUGAAAGCCUUUAGGGUCGUCAAAGUCUUUCGCCCUGUGAUGAUAAUGACAGUAGCACGUAAAGAAAACCCCGGCUAAACUCCGAUGCCAACAGACAGGGUAAUACAGAAGGGGUUAGCGUUGUUCGGAAUUACUGAGGCGUUAAGCGCGUUGUAGCGGAUUAGAAAAGUUGGAGGGUGAAAUCCCCGGGGAUCAACCCCGGAA
rnacentral:rRNA from 1 species